CUCACAUUUGAACACGAUUUAGUUUUAUUUUGAAAAACUCAGAGAAGUCAAACUUCAGGAGCACUAAAUAACCUGUAUUGAUCAGUAGCCUACUUUAACACAUAAAUGAGAAACACAACGCGUUAUAAGAAAAAAAUGAUCACUUUUGGAAUUUACUUAUCAUGGUUAAAAACAACUUUCUGGAUCUACGCGCGGAAAACGGAGUCUCCAGCCCCGAAGAAUUAACAAUGGAUAAAGUUCAAGACACUGACGGGAAUCGGUCACGCCAGACACCACCUGAAGCAGUUCAGCUCUGUGUACAACCCCAGUGAUGGAGCACAUCAGGCUACCAUCCGUUCCUUAGGCAGGUGCUAGAGGAGAUCUUCCACCCAGACAGGUGUGAAUGUCCUGAUGUAGAGCACAUGUCUGGAGGACUCACUGACCUUCUCAAGACUGGCUUCAGCAUGUUCAUGAAGGUACUAGUAAUGUCCACUAGAUUGCCGAGACCUUCAGAUGUUCCUCACUUACUCUUCAACACAGACAGACUCAAACUUGACAUCGGAGUAUGAAGGCACUGAUCGCAUACACUCACACUGUUGAAUACAUUCAGUCCAACCCAAGAUCUUUACCCACGUACUGUGUCUAGGUUACUGAGCUAUCUGACCUGAAUAGUGUUUGGGAUAUUUAAGUGAAAGAGAUCAUUAAAAAUUAUUUAGACUCAUAUACAACAAGCUCUUGUUUUUUCUUCCCAUUCCAAAACUUUUACAUGUUGUUGCAUGUGACCAGUAAAUGUUAUUUCUUAAGUGUUUAUGCUUGUCCCUACUCAAGUGUGUAAUGUUAAUGUGUGUAAGCAUGAAUGCGCUGAAUGGAAAUCACACAGUCAGCACAAAUCUUGCACAUUUUACUCUCUCGCAUAUGUGAUGAAAAGAACAUGCACACACGGUGCUGGCAACAGAUUGAACAGAUUCUGCACUUUGAUGCUCAGUACAUUUUCCCCUCAUCUUUCACCCAAUUCAGCAGUGUUGUGGAGCAUGUUGGUGACAGGUAGUGACAGAUGGAAAGAGGGCAGAGGUCAAAAAAGGAGGGGAGAUCUUUUAGAGCAAAUAUCUCUUUUCUUCUCUCACUUUGGGUAGUUUCCAUUCAUACAUGAUCAUCCCUAUUCCCCAAGGCUUUUACCACCACAGUCAGCGAUUCAGUGGGUGUAGGAGUGUAGAUCUGAAACAUAAUGGUCAUUCAGACAACACUUUUUAAUGUAGUUUUGUGGGGAAUUUAGUUGGAAACAAAGUUACAACUAUUUUGAAGUGUCCUUCGUAGACGCCAUUUGCACCAUUUGGUGUGCACAUGCACUCACACUAGUAUUUAUUUUACACUUAAUAGUUUUGAGUUUGUGUUUCACAAUUAUACCAGCAGGG